rnacentral:rRNA from 1 species
GACGAACGCUGGCGGCGUGCUUAACACAUGCAAGUCGAACGGAAAGGCCCCCUUGUGGGGUACUCGAGUGGCGAACGGGUGAGUAACACGUGAGUAACCUACCCUAGACUUUGGGAUGACUUCAGGAAACUGAGGCGAAUCCCGGAUAGGAGAUCCUGCUGCAUGGUGGGGGUUGGUAGGUUUCGGCGGUUGGGGAUGGACUCGCGGCUUAUCAGCUUGUUGGUGGGGUAGUGGCUCACCAAGCGGUUGACGGGUAGCCGGCCUGAGAGGGGGACCGGCCACAUUAGGACUGAGAUACGGCCCAGACGGCUACGGGAGGCAGCAGUGGGGAAUAUUGCACAAUGGGCGGAAGCCUGAUGCAGCAACGCCGCGUGCGGGAUGACGGCCUUCGGGUUGUAAACCGCUUUCGCCUGUGACGAAGCGUGAGUGACGGUAAUGGGUAAAGAAGCACCGGCUAACUACGUG